rnacentral:rRNA from 1 species
UACGUAGGGGGCAAGCGUUAUCCGGAAUUACUGGGUGUAAAGGGAGCGUAGGCGGCAGUGCAAGUCUGAAGUGAAAGGCAAGGGCUCAACCCUUGGACUGCUUUGGAAACUGUGCUGCUGGAGUGUCGGAGAGGCAAGUGGAAUUCCUAGUGUAGCGGUGAAAUGCGUAGAUAUUAGGAGGAACACCAGUGGCGAAGGCGGCUUGCUGGACGAUGACUGACGUUGAGGCUCGAAAGCGUGGGGAGCAAACAGG